rnacentral:rRNA from 1 species
ACAUCCAGAGAAUUUAGCAGAGAUGCUUUAGUGCCUUCGGGAACUCUGAGACAGGUGCUGCAUGGCUGUCGUCAGCUCGUGUUGUGAAAUGUUGGGUUAAGUCCCGNAACGAGCGCAACCCUUAUCCUUUGUUGCCAGCACGUAAUGGUGGGAACUCAAAGGAGACUGCCGGUGAUAAACCGGAGGAAGGUGGGGAUGACGUCAAGUCAUCAUGGCCCUUACGAGUAGGGCUACACACGUGCUACAAUGGCGCAUACAAAGAGAAGCGACCUCGCGAGAGCAAGCGGACCUCAUAAAGUGCGUCGUAGUCCGGAUUGGAGCCUGCAACUCGACUCCAUGAAGUCGGAAUCGCUAGUAAUCGUAAAUCAGAAUGUUACGGUGAAUACGUUCCCGGGCCUUGUACACACCGCCCGUCACACCAUGGGAGUGGGUUGCAAAAGAAGUAGAUAGCUUAACCUUCGGGAGGGCGUUUACCACUUUGUGAUUCAUGACUGGGGUGAAGUCGUAACAAGGUAAGCGUAGUGCU